GAGGGUAUAGCUCAGUGGUAGAGUACAUGCCUAGCAUGCACAAGGUCCUGGGUUCAAUCCCCAGUACUUCCA
rnacentral:tRNA from 1 species